GGCAGCGGGGAGAGUGCUUGCACUCUCUGCCGGCGACCGGCGCACGGGUGAGUAACACGUAUGCAACCUGCCCCCGUCCGGGGGACAACCUUCCGAAAGGGAGGCUAAUCCCGCGUAUAUCCCCGAGGGGCAUCCCUGGGGGAGGAAAGCUCCGGCGGACGGGGAUGGGCAUGCGGCGCAUUAGCUAGACGGCGGGGUGACGGCCCACCGUGGCGACGAUGCGUAGGGGUUCUGAGAGGAAGGUCCCCCACACUGGUACUGAGACACGGACCAGACUCCUACGGGAGGCAGCAGUGAGGAAUAUUGGUCAAUGGCCGGAAGGCUGAACCAGCCAAGCCGCGUGAGGGAAGACGGCCCUACGGGUUGUAAACCUCUUUAGCCGGGGAACAAGGCGCGGGACGAGUCCCGCUGUGAGCGUACCCGGAGAAUAAGCAUCGGCUAACUCCGUGCCAGCAGCCGCGGUAAUACGGAGGAUGCGAGCG
rnacentral:rRNA from 1 species